rnacentral:lncRNA from 1 species
UGGAAUAUAAGUGUUACCCAACCAAGUGAUAAUUUGAUGAUAUUUGCUAUCCCACUCCUCAAAUCUUUCAAUUUACUUGUGGUCUUCUACCGUGGUUUCUUGAACAAUGACAUCAAAUGGGUCUGUAUCAAUAUUCUAAGUGGUGUCAUUAACGUUUUUCAUUGGUGGAGUAGGUUUGACCGAUUUGGUGACAUCUCCGGUAAUUAUACGCCAUAACUUUCGUCCGAUAAAAAAACUCUUCAUUCGGUGGGCCUAGGUAAUGUAGUUUGUUCCAUCAAGAAUGGUACUAAUAUGACAAGCAACAUCUUUUUCUUCAUCUAAACAACAUUAUUGAAAAAUAUAGCCAACAAGCUUCCAAAAAAAAAUUAGAAAUAGAGACCACACAACACGGUAAUUGAGGACGUGCAAAUCACACAAGAAAACUCAGCAUAAACAGAGCCAAAUCUGGAUGGAAAACCAAUGACUGAAAAACGGCAGACUGACGGAAGAUGGGAUCGAAGAUGGAACAUAUAUUGAACGCUAUAGCCGAAGAUGAGAUCAGAAACAGACUUUCUGAAGAUGAGAUCGGAGACUAAAUGCGACAUCCGAAUUUUGGAGAUGGUCGUGUGAACGAUCGGAGAUGCCCGAGGACAAACCUAUCUCGGAUGAAGUUGAACGAAGGAAGACAUAUCUCGUCCUUGUUGGCGAGAAGUGACGACAACCACAGGGAUAUGGCAGUUCUAACGAAAGCUGAACGGAGAGAGGCAGAUCUCGUCUUUGUUGGCGAUUUUCAAAAAUAAAUGACGAAAAACACAGGGGUGUGACAGAGUUGAGAUCGAAACAGAGCCUCGUCGGCAAGAAGGAGAAUAGAGACCGGAACAGAGCUUCGUUGGCGAGAAGGAGAAUAAAAUCUCGUCGUCGACUGGUACAAAAUCGAUGAAAAUUGGGUGCGGUGGCGGCUAGGUUAGAUUUAACCUAGCUCUGAUACCAUGUAAAUUAUUUUGAAUAAUUGUGUAUUUCAUUAAUAUAUUUUCAGUAAUACAAAGUGUACAUAUACCGAAAAUAAUGCAACCUAUAAGAAAAGAAUAAAUACAAUAAUAUACUCUAAGAUUAUGGUCAAAUUACUAUAAUUUUGGUAAUACAAUUAAAGAUUUAAAAAUGAGAUAAUUAAAAAAAAUUACUAUAAAGUGAUUGUUCUUCUCCAACCAACAACGUCUCUUAUUCAACAAAUUGAACAUCUCUUUUUCAAAUAAUAGAUUUUCUCUUUUUUCAACAAAUUGAAUAUCUCUUUCUCAACGAAUUGAUCAGUCUCUUCUUCACCAAUUUAAUUGUC